AGAGUUUGAUCAUGGCUCAGAACGAACGCUGGCGGCGCGCCAAUACAUGCAAGUCGAGCGAGAAGGUGUAGCAAUACACUUGUAAAGCGGCGAACGGGUGAGGAAUACAUGGGUAAUCUACCAUCGAGUGGGGAAUAACCAACCGAAAGGUUGGCUAAUACCGCGUACGCCUCCGAGUCUUCGGGUUCGGAGGGAGAGCUGCACUGUGAGUGUAGCGCUCUUUGAUGAGCUCAUGUCCUAUCAGCUUGUUGGUAGGGUAACGGCCUACCAAGGCUUUGACGGGUAGCUGGUCUGAGAGGACGAUCAGCCACACUGGCACUGCGACACGGGCCAGACUCCUACGGGAGGCAGCAGUAAGGAAUAUUGCGCAAUGGGCGAAAGCCUGACGCAGCGACGCCGCGUGGGGGAUGAAGGUCUUCGGAUUGUAAACCCCUUUCGGGAGGGAAGAUGGAGCGAGCAAUCGUUCGGACGGUACCUCCAGAAGCAGCCACGGCCAACUUCGUGCCAGCAGCCGCGGUAAUACGAAGGUGGCAAGCGUUGUUCGGAUUCACUGGGCGUACAGGGUGUGUAGGCGGUUUGGUAAGCCUUCUGUUAAAGCUUCGGGCCCAACCCGGAAAGCGCAGAGGGUACUGCCAGGCUAGAGGGUGGGAGAGGAGCGCGGAAUUCCCGGUGUAGCGGUGAAAUGCGUAGAGAUCGGGAGGAAGGCCGGUGGCGAAGGCGGCGCUCUGGAACAUACCUGACGCUGAGACACGAAAGCGUGGGGAGCAAACAGGAUUAGAUACCCUGGUAGUCCACGCCCU
rnacentral:rRNA from 1 species